UACGUAGGUGGCAAGCGUUGUCCGGAUUUACUGGGCGUAAAGAGCGCGCAGGCGGUCGUUUAAGUCGAAUGUGAAAGCCCCCGGCUCAACUGGGGAGGGUCAUUCGAUACUGAUCGACUUGAAGGCAGGAGAGAGAAGUGGAAUUCCCGGUGUAGUGGUGAAAUGCGUAGAUAUCGGGAGGAACACCGGUGGCGAAGGCGGUCUGCUGGGCAGUAGCUGACACUGAGGCGCGACAGCGUGGGGAGCAAACAGG
rnacentral:rRNA from 1 species